rnacentral:lncRNA from 1 species
UGCGUUUGUAAGGGUGAGUGUAUGCACGUGUAUAUGAGUGCUUACGUCUGUAUUGUGUUAAAAAACGAAUGAAAGCCAAAAUAUUUCAUCUGGACUAAAAUUAGCAAUUCCGAAUAUUUAUAUAUAUCACAUCUACUAUGUUACACACACAUCUUGUACUAUGCAUCACAAACACACAUGGUUUACACAUUAAUGAGAUCGGGUAGAAGAGAAAUCAAAAGACAAAAAA